CAAGGACAGCCAUAUACAGAACACAUUGUAGGAGUCCACCCUGAGGUUAACAAUGUAUGAUUCAUUGUGGCCAACUUUCCUUUUCUAGAAUGGACACAAUUGAAAAAUUAGCCCCAAAUGCUGCAGUAUGUUUCUAAACUACAGAUGUCAUCUGUACUGACUUUGCAAAAAAACUCCUUUGGCUUCAUGUGCUUGGACAAGAGCUUGGAGGGAAUUCCAUUAUCUUCCCCAUUCCCAUGUACAGCUCAGAUUUCUGUAAAACGUUGAGGAAUGAUCAUCACCACUACCACGCCAUUCCAAGAGUAAAUCUCCCAAAGGAGUUCAGAUCCUCCCAAAGUACCAUGCAUAGUUCAUUUCUGCAAAAAAUGAAUAUGUACAGAAAAUAAACCCACUUCUAUUUGCAAGAAUAUAAA